rnacentral:misc_RNA from 1 species
UUUUUUUUUUUUUUAAGAGAAAAAAUAAAACAUAAGGGAAUCUAAUCCUUGAACUGAGCUUGCUUAAUUUGCUAUUACUUCGAUUUUUUCAAUAAACUCAUGAAGCCCGAGAAACCAUUACAGGAGAUUCGAUUGCAACAAACAGAUCGAAUAAAAAAAAAUGUUAAAAAAGCAUAUGGACGAAAUAAUAUUGCAUUUAGUAAACACUUAAAUUGGGUUUUAUAUUUUGGAUCUUGAAACCCUUCUGA